CUGAGGACAGGUGUCAAUCCAUAUCUGCCAAGUGACCCUAUGUAGGCGGAACAGUCUCUAUUCUGCUCUGUGUCAGUGUGUAUCAUGAUCUCUGAGGACAGGUGUCAAUCCAUAUCUGCCAAGUGACCCUAUGUAGGAGGAACAGUCUCUAUUCUGCUCUGUGUCAGCGUGUAUCAGGGGCUCUGAGGACAGGUGUCAAUCCAUAUCUGCCAAGUGACCCUAUGUAGGAGGAACAGUCUCUAUUCUGCUCUGUGUCAGUGUGUAUCAUGAUCUCUGAG